rnacentral:lncRNA from 1 species
GGCACGGUCAUAGUGGUCGACAGCUCGGGACCGUCGUUAUGUGGCAGAGACACGAUAAAGGCUUUUAACGAAAUCGGAGUGGCACUGUUGUCGAA